GCAAUGACAUUGGGGUGCUUCUGAAGAGGCUGAGAUUAUACCCAUUGAACUUGAUACACGAUAAUGCGUGCGAAAGGAUUUGUCGUUGUUUUCUUU
rnacentral:ncRNA from 2 species